rnacentral:rRNA from 1 species
UACGAAGGGGACUAGCGUUGUUCGGAAUCACUGGGCGUAAAGCGCACGUAGGCGGAUCUUUAAGUCAGGGGUGAAAUCCUGGAGCUCAACUCCAGAACUGCCUUUGAUACUGAGGAUCUUGAGUCCGGGAGGGGUGAGUGGAACUCCGAGUGUAGAGGUGAAAUUCGUAGAUAUUAGGAAGAACACCAGUGGCGAAGGCGGCUCACUGGCCCGGUACUGACGCUGAGGCGCGAAAGCGUGGGGAGCAAACAGG